UUCUAUCUCAUUAAAUACCUUUAUCUAAACUUUUCUCUACCAAAUUACCCAAGCUUAAUCAAUGGAAAAUCUCUAAAAAAAUCCUUCCCUCUCUUCAAAUAACCAUGUUCUUAUUUUAGAGUCGUUGAAUGAGUUCUUCUCUUUCUCUGAGCAGUUGGCUAUCUCCAUAAAGCACCCUAUUUCAAUCCUUUCCUUCACUGUCAAAAUACAUCGCCCUCUUUCCUCUGGCUCUAUUUGUCUAAAGGACAUGCAUAAGUUUUGGACCAGUGCAAAAAAGAGAAUUUUUGUUUUUUUAAAGGUCUUCCUAUUGUACCUGGACGUAUUAUAAAUCUCAGCCAGUUAAAGGAUGCUCACUGCAAUGUAUUAAAUGAAUUGGAAGACGUCAAGGACCGAAUAAGGAUUUUUGAGGAAGGAGUGGUGCUUCUUCAAGAGUCAACUUCAAAAUUGCUGCAGCUAGGAAAGGGAAAUAAUCAUGAUGAUAUUGAAGACUGUUAAUGUUGGAAGGAUAAAGGAAGCUGGAUCAAGGAAUGAAAGGACACCAAUUCACAAUCCGUGGCAUCCAAGUAUAUCAAUCAAAAUGAGAACAAAUGGAAGGAGCAUCUUAGUACUAAAAGACGCAGAAAAUCAGAUCAAUGACAACUAACUAAGAGAAAUAAAAGAUCAGAAAUACACUUGGAAAAGUAUCAAGCAUUACAAGAUCAAAAGAAAGAAAACAUCAUAGACAUAUCUGAUAUGGAUAUGGGUAGAAGAGGUAUAUGGAAAUAUCAUAUGGCUGCUACAUUCCUCAAUCAAGAAAUUAAUUAAAAUCCUUGAUUGAGAAGAAAUCUCUUGGGUUUCCUCAUGAAGAGUAGCAGCUGAAAACUAUAAAAGAAGAAGACUGAAGAUAGACAUGGGUUACACAACUUUAAAUAAGAAUACCAAAGUUUAUCAAUCUUAGUCUCACAAGGUUUUAUAACUUUUAGUUUACACUUGUUAUAUAAAGAGUAGGAUCGAGUCAACUUUGUAACAUCAAUUGAAGCUUUUUCACAAGACCUGAACAAAAAAAUAAGUCUUCAGAACUUUUUUCCUAUCACUAAACUCGAGCCCGACAUUGAAUGAUCUAAGGAAACUUAGAAACCCAGGGGGACUGUACGUAGGCACCACACUGGUGUUCCG